GCCUGGGUGGCUCAGUCGGUUAAGCGGCUGACUUCGGCUCAGGUCAUGAUCUCGUGGUCCGUGGGUUCGAGCCCCGCGUCGGGCU
rnacentral:tRNA from 1 species